rnacentral:rRNA from 1 species
AUGUGCCCCUUCAUUAGCUCCACGCCCAAUGAAGUUCAGUUGGAAAAAUUCCAAGUUGCUACUGAGCUCUUCAAUCUCUUAGAGAAUCGGUGCAAUUUCAGAUCUUCCCUGCUCUCGACUCCUCCAGAGCUAUGGUACGCCUUUGGCGUACCCUCGAAAAAAAUUGUGAUGUUGCCGAGGCCUAGAUCGCAAGCCAGUUUAGUUCCAUCCCUAACAGAAAAAGCUUCCAUAAUCAAAACAUUUUCAGCUUGCUCAUACCAUAAAGCUUGGCCUCUGAUCAAGGAUCCAGAAUGCUCACGUAGGCCGUAG